GAAUAAAACUAAAAUUUAGUAUUUAAUUUCGACUUAAAUUUAUAAUUAUUUAAAUAAUUUAUUCA
rnacentral:tRNA from 1 species